AUUUUUAAAGCGUCGUCCUCCUUUUCUCGCCGAUAUAAAUAUUAUAUUACAAGUUUGGCACUGUUGCGGUUUUUUUUAUUUUUUGCGAAAAAACAAAAACAAAACAAAAUCUCUCUUUCUAUUUUCUUUAAAUAUUUCGAGGCGCCCCAGAUUUCCACGUUUUGGCACACAGACACACACACCUCGUUGUGUCGGCCAGCCAGAAUAUACGCAAUCAUUUCGAAAUCUAUUUUCCGUUUAAUUGCAUUGCGCGAUGGGACUCAACACGCGUUCGGCCCAUUGAAUCCCAUCAUUUAAUCUAUACAUAGUUUUUGUCUAUAGCCUACAUACGUAUAGAAACUAUAUAAGAUCAUGGAACAAGCAAUUUGGAUGCAGGAGCCAUCGAAUGUGUCCCGUUUGUUCGAUUCGAAUUUCAUUCGUUCAACAUUCUUCGGCCGUUUUCUUUUUCUUUUUCGGGCGUGAUUGUGUUUUGGAAAACCGAAAUGAUGGCCGAUGGUGCAAUCGGUGACACUAGAAAGAAAUCCAGGACAUGCCCCCAGCGCGCGCCUCACGUUCACGCUGCGUGAAAACAAACGAAGACGUCAAUUCCGGUCAGCCAAUGCCGACGGCCAGACGAAAGUGAUGCGUGACGGAAGAGACACCUGUAAAAGCGACCGCGAGGCUCCCGCUCUCUCCCGAUGGAAGGCUGUCAAUGUGCUGUUUUCCCCUCAACCGACGUCUAACGGUUUCUUUUGUUUCUGUCCUUUUCGAUUGUCUCUUUCGUUAUUUUCUCCUGUCGUGUUUUAGAAGAAAGAAGAAGAAGAAGAAAUGCGCAACACGACAACAACAAAAAAAAAAAAAAAAGUGGACCGGUUGACCGGCUAGACUUUCGCUCUUUCGCGGAAUAUAGUCGGAUGUCACGAGCUCUCUGGAUGGCAUUUUACGCUGUUGCCAACGUUUUUUUAUUUGAUUUGAUUUGAUUUUUUUAUUUUUUUUUAUUUUUAUUUUUUUUCAGGAGUGUUGCGAUUUCUCAAAGUGAAUAAAAUCAAAAUGCGCAUUUCACCACCGGCCAAUUGCGUCAUCACGUUCCUCUCAAACAGGAAAAAUUCGCUUUAUAGACAAACUCUCUGCUGCUGUCUCCGGUCAAAAGUUAACCGAAUUCAACUCGAUUCGCAAAGUUCUCUUGCCAAAAAUUGUUUGACACACUUGUCUACAUGUUUCAAUUGCGCCAAAGGGAAUAUUUAAAAAAUAUAUAUAUAAGAAAGAAAAACCAACAAAAAAAUACACAAAUGGGACGGACAAAAACACAAAAAAAAGGGUAUAAAUGUGGGGCGGCAGUGUCUUUUACACACA